UCGUGUCGUGAGAUGUUGGGUUAAGUCCCGCAACGAGCGCAACCCUUGUUCUGUGUUGCCAGCAUGCCCUUCGGGGUGAUGGGGACUCACAGGAGACUGCCGGGGUCAACUCGGAGGAAGGUGGGGACGACGUCAAGUCAUCAUGCCCCUUAUGUCUUGGGCUGCACACGUGCUACAAUGGCCGGUACAAUGAGCUGCGAUGCCGUGAGGCGGAGCGAAUCUCAAAAAGCCGGUCUCAGUUCGGAUUGGGGUCUGCAACUCGACCCCAUGAAGUCGGAGUUGCUAGUAAUCGCAGAUCAGCAUUGCUGCGGUGAAUACGUUCCCGGGCCUUGUACACACCGCCCGUCACGUCACGAAAGUCGGUAACACCCGAAGCCGGUGGCCCAACCCCUUACGGGGAGGGAGCUGUCGAAGGUGGGACUGGCGAUUGGGACGAAGUCGUAACAAGGUAGCCGUACCGGAAGGUGCGGCUGGAUCACCUCCUUUCU
rnacentral:rRNA from 1 species